rnacentral:rRNA from 1 species
GAUGAACGCUGGCGGCGUGCCUAAUACAUGCAAGUCGAGCGAACAGACGAGGAGCUUGCUCCUCUGACGUUAGCGGCGGACGGGUGAGUAACACGUGGAUAACCUACCUAUAAGACUGGGAUAACUUCGGGAUACCGGAGCUAAUACCGGAUAAUAUAUUGAAUCGCAUGGUUCAAUAGUGAAAGACGGUUUUGCUGUCACUUAUAGAUGGAUCCGCGCCGCAUUAACUAGUUGGUAAGGUAACGGCUUACCAAGGCAACGAUGCGUAGCCGACCUGAGAGGGUGAUCGGCCACACUGGAACUGAGACACGGUCCAGACUCCUACGGGAGGCAGCAGUAGGGAAUCUUCCGCAAUGGGCGAAAGCCUGACGGAGCAACGCCGCGUGAGUGAUGAAGGUCUUCGGAUCGUAAAACUCUGUUAUUAGGGAAGAACAAAUGUGUAAGUAACUAUGCACGUCUUGACGGUACCUAAUCAGAAAGCCACGGCUAACUACGUG